UAGGUAUAUACCAUCGGGGACCACUUCGAAAUAGCCAAGUCAAAUAGAUCUAGUGGUCAUGACAUUGGGUGUUACUCUGUAUCAUCGGACACUCACUUGAAAAUGAGUUCCAUUUGUCCAGAGCAUUGGGUGCCAUGCUUAGACCAUUAGACGCUCACUUGACAAGGGUUCUAAGCAUAGUUAGUGUUGGGAACCAUUUUGGAAUUUAAAUUCCAUAAAGCUCUAGGGCCUGAAGUGUUG
rnacentral:sRNA from 1 species